UGCCGGAGUGGCGGAACUGGCAGACGCGCUGGACUCAAAAUCCCGUGGUCUUUAUUGACCGUGUGGGUUCGAACCCCACCUCCGGCAU
rnacentral:tRNA from 1 species